GAACGCCGUGUGCGGUGAAAGUCGCACGCACGGUGUGAAGCGGGGGAAAAGAUGGAGAUAGUAUCAAAGUUUUACCUAUCGCUAU
rnacentral:ncRNA from 2 species